UCAAGACGGAAUAAUCGAGCAACGGUUC
rnacentral:piRNA from 1 species